GAUGAACGCUGGCGGCGUGCCUAACACAUGCAAGUCGAACGGGGGUGACAUUUCGGUGUGACUCCAGUGGCGCACGGGUGAGUAACACGUAGCUGACCUAUCCUGGGAGGGGGGGACAACCCCGGGAAACCGGGGCUAAACCCGCCUAAGCUCGCGGUCAUUAGAGGACUGGGAGAAAACGUGCAUGCACGACUUCAGGGAGGGGGCUGCGGCCCAUCAGGUAGUUGGUGGGGUAAGCGCCUACCAAGCCGACGGACGGGUAGGGGGUCUGA
rnacentral:rRNA from 1 species